rnacentral:rRNA from 1 species
GACGAACGCUGGCGGCGUGCCUAAUACAUGCAAGUCGAGCGCAGGAAGUCAUCCGAACCCUUCGGGGGGACGUUGACGGAAUGAGCGGCGGACGGGUGAGUAACACGUAAAGAACCUGCCCUCAGGUCUGGGAUAACCACGAGAAAUCGGGGCUAAUACCGGAUGGGUCAUCGGACCGCAUGUUCCGAGGAUGAAAGGCGCUCCGGCGUCGCCUGGGGAUGGCUUUUCGGUGCAUUAGCUAGUUGGUGGUGUAAUGGCCCACCAAGGCGACGAUGCAUAUCCGACCUGAGAGGGUGAUCGGCCACACGGGGACUGAGACACGGCCCAGACUCCUACGGGAGGCAGCAGUAGGGAAUCUUCCACAAUGGACGAAAGUCUGAUGGAGCAACGCCGCGUGAACGAUGAAGGCCCUCGGGUCGUAAAGUUCUGUUGUAAGGGAAGAACAAGUGCCGCAGGCAAUGGCGGCACCUUGACGGUACCUUGCGAGAAAGCCACGGCUAACUACGUG